GAUGAACGCUAGCGGCAGGCCUAAUACAUGCAAGUCGUACGGGAUUUCAUCUUUCGGGAUGAAUGAGAGUGGCGCACGGGUGCGUAACGCGUAUGCAACCUACCUGUUACAGGGAGAUAGCCCGGGGAAACUCGGAUUAAUAUUCCAUAGUAUAUAAUCGUUGCAUGGUGAUUAUAUUAAAGCCUUCGGGUGGUAACAGAUGGGCAUGCGUAGGAUUAGCUAGUUGGCGAGGUAACGGCUCACCAAGGCGACGAUCCUUAGGGGUUCUGAGAGGAAGGUCCCCCACACUGGCACUGAGAUACGGGCCAGACUCCUACGGGAGGCAGCAGUAGGGAAUAUUGGUCAAUGGGCGAGAGCCUGAACCAGCCAUGCCGCGUGCAGGAAGNNNNNUUCUGCGUUGUAAACUGCUUUUAUCUGGGAAGAAAAAGCCCUUGCGAGGGAAAUUGCC
rnacentral:rRNA from 1 species